GGUGGCUCAAUGGUAGAGUGUUUGCCUUGCAUGCAUGAAGCCCUGGGUUUGAUUCCUCAGCACCA
rnacentral:tRNA from 1 species